GAUGAAGAACGUAGCGAAAUGCGAUAAGUAGUGUGAAUUGCAGAAUUCAGUGAAUCAUCGAAUCUUUGAACGCACAUUGCGCCCUUUGGUAUUCCUUAGGGCAUGCCUUUUCGAGCGUCAUUUACAAAUUCAAGCUCAGCUUGGUGAUGGGUGUCUGUCCCGCCUUUGCGCGUGGACUCGCCUCAAAUGCAGUUGGCAGCUUAUCCCUCGGCUCUAAACGCAGCAGAUUUGCGUCGAGCGUCGUGUGGACGGGCUCUCCAGUAAGCAAACCCCCCAAAAUUGACCUCGGAUCAGGUAGGGAUACCCGCUGAACUUAAGCAUAUCAAUAAGCGGAGGA
rnacentral:misc_RNA from 1 species